rnacentral:rRNA from 1 species
GAAACGACUGAUAAUACCGAAUAAGCUCUACGGAGUAAAGAAGCCAUCAAGCUUCGCUAAGAGAUGGGCCUGCGGCGUAUUAGCUAGUUGGUGGGGUAAGAGCCUACCAAGGCGACGAUGCGUAGCCGAACUGAGAGGUUGAUCGGCCACACUGGGACUGAGACACGGCCCAGACUCCUACGGGAGACAGCAGUUAGGAAUAUUCGUCAAUGGGGGAAACCCUGAACGGGCAAUGCCGCGUGAAUGAAGAAGGCCCUAUGGGUUGUAAAAUUCUGUUGUAUGGAAAGAAAUGUAAAGUUAGGAAAUGAACUUUACUUGACGGUACCAUUCAAGAAAGCCACGGCUAACUACGUGCCAGCAGCCGCGGUAAUACGUAGGUGGCGAGCGUUAUCCGGAUUUAUUGGGCGUAAAGGGUGCGUAGGCGGUAUGUUAAGUAUAAAAUAAAAGCCCGAAGCUUAACUUCGGUUCGUUUUAUAAACUGUCAAACUAGAGUACAGUAGAGGCAAAUGGAAUUCCUAGUGUAGUGGUAAAAUGCGUAGAUAUUAGGAGGAACACCAGUGGCGAAGGCGAUUUGCUGGGCUGUAACUGACGCUGAGGCACGAAAGCGUGGGGAGCAAAUAGGAUUAGAUACCCUAGUAGUCCGCGCCAUAAACGAUGAGUACUAAGUGUCGGGAAACCGGUGCU